UUUUAUUUGAGAGUUUGAUCCUGGCUCAGGAUGAACGCUGGCGGCGUGCCUAACACAUGCAAGUUGAGCGAUUUACUUCGGUAAAGAGCGGCGGACGGGUGAGUAACGCGUGGGUAACCUACCCUGUACACACGGAUAACAUACCGAAAGGUAUGCUAAUACGGGAUAAUAUAUUUGAGAGGCAUCUCUUAAAUAUCAAAGGUGAGCCAGUACAGGAUGGACCCGCGUCUGAUUAGCUAGUUGGUAAGGUAACGGCUUACCAAGGCGACGAUCAGUAGCCGACCUGAGAGGGUGAUCGGCCACAUUGGAACUGAGACACGGUCCAAACUCCUACGGGAGGCAGCAGUGGGGAAUAUUGCACAAUGGGCGAAAGCCUGAUGCAGCAACGCCGCGUGAGUGAUGAAGGCCUUCGGGUCGUAAAACUCUGUCCUCAAGGAAGAUAAUGACGGUACUUGAGGAGGAAGCCCCGGCUAACUACGUGCCAGCAGCCGCGGUAAUACGUAGGGGGCUAGCGUUAUCCGGAUUUACUGGGCGUAAAGGGUGCGUAGGCGGUCUUUCAAGUCAGGAGUGAAAGGCUACGGCUCAACCGUAGUAAGCUCUUGAAACUGGGAGACUUGAGUGCAGGAGAGGAGAGUGGAAUUCCUAGUGUAGCGGUGAAAUGCGUAGAUAUUAGGAGGAACACCAGUUGCGAAGGCGGCUCUCUGGACUGUAAGUGGCGCUGAGGAACGAAAGCGUGGGGAGCAAACGGGAUUAGAUACCCUGGUAGUGCACGCUGUAAACGAUGAGUACUAGGAGUCGGGGGUUACCCCAUGCGGGGCCGCAGCUAACGCAUUAAGUACUCCGCCUGGGAAGUACGCUCGAAAGAGUGAAACUCAAAGGAAUUGACGGGGACCCGCACAAGUAGCGGAGCAUGUGGUUUAAUUCGAAGCAACGCGAAGAACCUUACCUAAGCUUGACAUCCCAAUGACAUCUCCUUAAUCGGAGAGUUCCCUUCGGGGACAUUGGUGACAGGUGGUGCAUGGUUGUCGUCAGCUCGUGUCGUGAGAUGUUGGGUUAAGUCCCGCAACGAGCGCAACCCUUGUCUUUAGUUGCCAUCAUUAAGUUGGGCACUCUAGAGAGACUGCCAGGGAUAA
rnacentral:rRNA from 1 species